rnacentral:lncRNA from 1 species
AGGGGCAGCCUCUCCCAUACUUCACAUCCCCAACUUUAAAAUGAUAAGUAGAGACUUAAAGGACUUUCAGGGGCGAUUAAGCUAGUGGAGGUAAAAGGGAAGCCAAUAAAUAAGCUUAUUAGCAGAGGAAACGCAAUCAGAAAAGUAAGCUAUGGUAAUUCAUGUUCAAUCCUAAAGAUCUGAUUACUUCUUUCUAAGUAUUUUCAGCCUGUGUAUUGGGAAUGCUUUGGGCUAUGGGUAAGAAAAAAAAAAAAAAAAUCCCAUUUCAAACUUGGAAAUAAAUAAAAUUAUAUUUUACAAAAGAGACAAUCCAUAGAAAAUCAGACUCCAAGUGAUCCACAGAUGAGUGGCAUGAUCAAAAACUCAGGAUCUUUCUGUUUAUCCCUCCUGCCAUCUUCAGCAUCAACAACAUUUAACCAAUGAUUUCCUCAGACUUUAAGAUGACUGCCAGUGGCUACUGAAGCUACACAUUCUUAUCUAGCAGAAGAAAGAGAAAAAUCUCUCUCACAAUCAAGGAUUAAGGGUACUUCCCUUGAUCUGGUGUGUGUGUGUGUGUGUGUUGUGUGUGUCUGUGUGUAGGGAAGGAAAGACACCUGGACAGAACUGGGAUUCUAUCAGGAAGAAAGAACAUGAGAUAUGAUGUUGGAUGGUUAACAAACCCUGCCUACUACAAUUUAAUCUCUGAGAAUAAGUGUUGCUCUACGUGAAAAUCUUAGUGUUACGUAGUGUUUCUGUUUCAUAAACCACAGCUUUAGAGGUAAUAAAUAAUAAGACAAAAACCUGCCUAUUCCAUGAAGUUCAAGUUACCUGCAAAAUGGUAACUAGAAUGAUACUAAACCAUUUGAAUGACCUCUGUUCCUAUCUUUUAUUUUAUUCUGUGUGUAAAGUAGGUUUUUGGUGUAUUUGUUUUGGGAACAGACUGACUAGAAAUACAUCACUGUCCAAAACAAAAACAUUUUUUUCAUCUAGGGAGUUGAGGCUUAACUAGCUGGAAGGGAAAUAUAAUUUCAUUUUGUUCUCAUAGUCUCAUUUAGAAAAUAACCUUAAGAGAUUCAAAGGACAUCAUGCCAUCUGAGCACUCUGCUUGCUCUCGAGGGGCUUGGCCUGGGCUUUAACUUUUCUAGCAUUUUCUGAAGUGUUUUCUUAAGCAACAUUUUUGCCUUUAGCACUGUCCUAACCACUGGAGCUUUAAGAAACCUUUAAAAAGUGUUCUUUAAAAAUAGCAUCACAAAACAAUUUUCUUUCUCUGCAUUACUAAAAAUAUCCCAAAUCUUUAAGAAGUUUUUUCUUUUAGGUUUUUUUGAAAGGCAAAUAAGCUGAAAUGCAGAUGUUAAUCUAAAUCCAAGCGGAAACAGUAUGAGAAAUAAUUACAAAAUAUAAAAAUGAAAACUCAGAGUGCUGCCCCUUUUAUCUGGGUAAUUUAAGGCAAAAGUGAGGUUCUGGGGGUUGCAUUUUUCACAUAUGCAUUUAUGUGAAUGUGAUGUAUGCCUCACAAUAGGAUGUUCCUGAAACAUCCUGUAAUAAAGUCUUACUUUUUUUUCUCAUUUUGUGUUCCCUUAUAACUGACAUUGCCACAGUGUAAGUUGUUCACCUCUCUGCAAAUGUUUAACUAUCACAAAAAUGUCUUUUUUUUUUUUUUUUUUUGUCCAAACAAUUUAAGGGUGGAAUUAAGGACCCAUGACCAUAGAAGCUUCAAAUUUAAUUAGGAGAUAAGCUGUAUGUGAAAUUUUGAGGAAAGGGAGCAUCUUUAUCAUUGAGCUCUUAAAUGUCCUACUUUUGCAUAACAAAGGGAGUCCCAGGUUGACUGCGUAGGUACAUGGAUUUUUCAGGUGGACAUCCAGAUGACCCUACAGGACAUUUCUUAGUUUCUGAAAGUACCAUGUUCUCCGAUAAAAUGAGGAUAAUGGUAGUUUCAACUUCAGAAGGGUGUUAUGAAGAGUAGCUAAGAUAAUGCCAGGUAUAUAGGAAGUACCCUGGAAAUGUUAGGUGUUCCUAUUGCUACUGCUGUUGUUAGCAUGAUUUCUUACAAACAGUCAUUCAAUUUGAGGGUCUUGGGUAUUUUUUAACAUGCUGUGAGUUUUGUUUUGUUGGGUUUUUUGUUUUUUGUUUUUAAUUUCACUAAUUGGAAAGAAGCACAUUUUUAUGUCUCCCAUGUAAUGUGCCACUGGGGGCAACAUGCCCAUAAUUCUACUCACUGAAACGUGUUUUGGCUGACACAGUGAAUGUGCCAAAUGUGGCUUAAAUUCUGAAUUUCCUCAAAGCCUCUUCAGCACCAUUCCCCAGAAAAUUUGCAACUCGAGCUGGGCUCCUCAUUUGGGUUUGCAAAGGUGUGAACUAGCUGCAGCCAAAACGAAGUAAAAAUGGUAGAUGCAAAUUCUGCUCUGCACAUUGUCGUCUUGGCCUGGGGAUCUUAUUCUAACCCCAUGGCCUGCUUGCCCUCCUCGACGUGGCAAUGAG